rnacentral:rRNA from 1 species
AUUGAACGCUGGCGGCAUGCCUUACACAUGCAAGUCGAACGGCAGCACGGGAGCUUGCUCCUGGUGGCGAGUGGCGAACGGGUGAGUAAUACAUCGUAACGUACCCUGAAGUGGGGGAUAACGUAGCGAAAGUUACGCUAAUGCCGCAUAUUCUGUGAGCAGGAAAGAGGGGGAUCGCAAGACCUCUUGCUUUAGGAGCGGCCGAUGUCGGAUUAGCUAGUUGGUGAGGUAAAGGCUCACCAAGGCGACGAUCCGUAGCGGGUCUGAGAGGAUGAUCCGCCACACUGGGACUGAGACACGGCCCAGACUCCUACGGGAGGCAGCAGUGGGGAAUUUUGGACAAUGGGCGCAAGCCUGAUCCAGCCAUGCCGCGUGAGUGAAGAAGGCCU